rnacentral:rRNA from 1 species
GAUGAACGCUGGCGGCGUGCCUAAUACAUGCAAGUCGAGCGAACGGACGAGAAGCUUGCUUCUCUGAUGUUAGCGGCGGACGGGUGAGUAACACGUGGAUAACCUACCUAUAAGACUGGGAUAACUUCGGGAAACCGGAGCUAAUACCGGCUAAUAUUUUGAACCGCAUGGUUCAAAAGUGAAAGACGGUCUUGCUGUCACUUAUAGAUGGUUCCGCGCUGCAUUAGCUAGUUGGUAAGGUAACGGCUUACCAAGGCAACGAUGCAUAGCCGACCUGAGAGGGUGAUCGGCCACACUGGAACUGAGACACGGUCCAGACUCCUACGGGAGGCAGCAGUAGGGAAUCUUCCGCAAUGGGCGAAAGCCUGACGCAGCAACGCCGCGUGAGUGAUGAAGGUCUUCGGAUCGUAAAACUCUGUUAUUAGGGAAGAACAUAUGUGUAAGUAACUGUGCACAUCUUGACGGUACCUAAUCAGAAAGCCACGGCUAACUACGUG